GCUGGGGGGGGUGUCAGGCUCUGCUCCCAGGGAACAAGGGACAGGAGGAGAGGGAACGGCCUCAAGCUGUGCCAGGGGAGGGUCAGGUUGGACAUCAGGAGGAGUUUCCUCAUGGAAAGGGUGAUCAGGCCUUGGCAGGGGCUGCCCAGGGAGGUUUGGAGUCCCCAUCCCUGGAGGUGCCCAAGGAAGGCCUGGCCGUGGCACUCAGUGCUCUGGGCUGGGGGACAAGGGGGGCAUCGGGCACAGGGUGGGAUCCAUGGGCUGGGAGGGCUUUUCCAACCUCAGUGAUCCUGGGAUUCUGGGAUUCUAUGAUUCUCUGAACCAGGGAGAGUGGAAAGUGGUCUUUGUACUUUGAGGGUUUCACCUCAAACUGCUUAUUUUCCAGCCUGCAACAUUUCCACAACCUGAGUUCCCUGAAUCCCAUUCGCCACCUUCCUAAGGGGAAAACAGGACAGGACAAGAGGGAACGGCCUCAAGCUGUGCCAGGGGAGGGUCAGGCUGGCCAUGAGGAGGAAUUUCUCCAUGGAAAGGGUGGUCAGGCACUGAAGGGGCUGCCCAGGGUGGGUGGUGGAGUCCCCUCCCCUGGAGGGAUUUUAAAUCCCUGUGGAUGUUUCACUUGGGGUGACCUCGGCAGCGCUGGGUUAACAGUUGGACUCCAUGAUCUUUUUCCAACCUAAACAUCUCUGUGAUGCCCCAAGCCCCUCUUGACCCCUCAUCCAAGGUUUUUAAGCCCCUUGCUUUGCUCCUGCAAGUGCUGUGACACACACACUCCUCCCACACAGCUCCCCAAGGAAAAGCUCAGGGAGCUUCAGCAAGAAACACGAGAAGAUUCCGGGGAAAGGAGCAAACCCAACCCAUUGGCUUCAGGAUUUAAGGAGCUUGAAUGUGCUCCCAGCAGGUUGAACACCAGGAACACAGCCCUGGGAAUAAGCUGAAGGGAAGAUGUCAAAUAAACUCUCACCUCCGCCCCACCACCAUGAAAAUUAGACACGCAGAGCUGGGUUAAAUGUGAUUUAAGCUUGAUUUACACCUCGUUUAUCUUCCUCCUCAGGAGAACCAAGGCAGCAUUUGGGGUUUCCCCUUCCUCCCCACACCCAGCUGGGUCCUUUUAUUGCUUCUUGGAAGAGAACAUAUCCCGGGUAAUCCCUGGCUGGAUGUGCCGUGCUGGACCACUGGAAGGAGGAGGUCCGAGGAAACCUCCAGCCCUGUCUCACAAGGACAAGCUGCCCGGCGAGAUGUUAAUUUGAUUACGUGCGCGGCCUUUGCCUCUCGGAGGGAUCGGGAGCUCGGGGAAGCGUCUUCCCAAAAAAACCUGCUGCGUGUGGAUCCGAAGCUUCUCAGCUGCCUUCCCGACACCAUGUGGAGCUGGGGAGCUGGGAGGUGUUUGUCUGGCUGCCCAGGUUGCAAAGGCACAGCACUAGACAGGAAAAAAUGUAUGUAUUAUAUAUUAUAUAUAUUAUAUGUCCAUUUGUGGGAUUUAAGCCCAGCCACAACCUGGGGGGUGCCAGGUUAUAUCUGCUCUUGGUGGCUGUCACUGCCACCUACCACAGAUGGCACAGCCUCCAGAGCAACCACAAGGGUCCAAGUCACCACCUUCUGCCCUGAGGCUCUGAGAACCACUCACUGGGUGACAGAAAAGCCACAGGAGCAGCACCAGGUCCUGCCAGGGUCCUCAUCCCUGUGUGGCUCCACGUCGUCAGGCUCAGCCAAAGCUGUGAUGUUGAAUAAAGAGGGUUUUUUUCCUCUCUAAAACCUCACAGAUUUUCCAUAUCACCAAGUUUUCCAGGCUGGCAGAGUUCUCAAACCCCUCUGAAAAGCUCCAGCUAAAAGGCAGAUGUUUCCACAACUCCCCUGGGUGAAAAGCGUCCCGUCUCCUGCGGGCUUGACCCAAUCGCCCCGUGUUUUAAAAUGUGGGAAGCAGAGUAAGGAAACCCCACCGUGGCACACUCAGGGGCGUGGUGGGGCCAGGCAGCGCUUUUUGGGAUGCCAGGAUGGCACGUGGUGACCAACAGCCACAUCCUGUGGUCCCAGGGAGCCCCAGCACUGGAGGGAAGCAGGGGAUGGAGGAUAACCCUGCAGCGAGGGAGCGCAGGGUUCCCCUCAGAAAGUGGCUUUCUCUGUUUGCAGAAGGUGAAAUCUGCUGAUGGAGAGUACAAAACACAUGGAUUUGGGAAGGAGAAUAUCCUAAAUAACAUGAAAGCUUGGAGCAGCCACAGCAGCACAGUGAGGAGCUGCCCUGGAGCAGCUCCCGCUUGGCUUUGUAACUCUGCUGAGUCAGGAAUUGUUCUCCUGGGUGACAACAAAUCCCAAAACAUACUCCCAGAUAGGAUCCCUCCUUCCCUUUCAGGCUCUUCUGUCCUUCCCUGAGCUUCCCAACCUUUCCUUUUGCUGCCCAUCCCCAAGUAGAAUCCUGGACAUGCAGCUGGAGAAGAGUCCUGUGUGCCCAGGCUGUGGGAGGAGGGACGGGGUGCUUAGUUAGGAAUAAAUCCCAGGCAGGGUUUUAACAUUUAUGGCCAGUGAGAUAAUGAAGGAAGGUCAGCUGGGGGAGCUCCAUUGCAGUUCUCAUAAUGUUUCCCUGAAGCACAGAGAUAGAAGUCAAUGGGUGAUGUCCAUUAGGGAGCUUUUAUAUCUUUUUGUUUGAUUUUUUUUUUCAGCAGU